AGAACGAACGCUGGCGGCAUGCCUAAUACAUGCAAGUCGAACGAACACUUCGGUGUUAGUGGCGCACGGGUGCGUAACGCGUGGGAAUCUGCCCUUGGGUUCGGAAUAACAGUUGGAAACGACUGCUAAUACCGGAUGAUAUCGAAAGAUCAAAGAUUUAUCGCCCAGGGAUGAGCCCGCGUAGGAUUAGCUAGUUGGUGAGGUAAAGGCUCACCAAGGCGACGAUCCUUAGCUGGUCUGAGAGGAUGAUCAGCCACACUGGGACUGAGACACGGCCCAGACUCCUACGGGAGGCAGCAGUAGGGAAUAUGGACAAUGGGCGCAAGCCUGAUCCAGCAAUGCCGCGUGAGUGAUGAAGGCCUUAGGGUGUAAAGCUCUUUUACCCGAGAUGAUAAUGACAGUAUCGGAGAAUAAGCCCCGGCUAAACUCCGACGCCAAGCAGCCGC
rnacentral:rRNA from 1 species